rnacentral:lncRNA from 1 species
AAACAAACAAACAACAAACAAACAAAGAAACAACAACAACAAAAAAAAAAAAACAAAAUAAUAAAAAACAGCUGCUGCUGCUCCUGCUUUGUUUCUACUUCCUUGUGCUUUGCCCCUCCCCUUUUCCAGGUGAUUGGGUUUGGGUGCUGGGCGGGGCCGAAUGGUAUAUGAGCCCCAGGCAUGCUAUCAGAGAGCUCAUUCUGCCUGGGCUGCUCCUUGAGUAGGUAAACAUUAGGAGGAACCGGUCAAAGGUAACAGCGCUUUCUGGAACCGUCAAGUUCUUGUUCGGCAACGUAGUGACUGGUUUGAUCUACUUCACAGAUGGAGAGUGGUAGAUAACAUUUAUAAGGAAUCGGUCAAAGGAAAGAGCGCCUUCUGGAACUGUGAAGCUCUGUGUUGGCAACUCGGUGACUGGCUGGACCUACUGUCCAUCUCCAGAGGGAAGCGGACUGCUGUUUUGAAAUUAAAAAAUACUAAUGAAAAAAAUAAAAAUAUGGUGCUGCUCUAUGGCGCCCGGAGGACUGCCACUCUGCAUGGCAGUUAAAAAGAAUGUGGUUUGGAGAUGGAGAGCCACAGAGAUGAAGCAGCUGGGAAGAGAGACACAAGUAUUGCAGUAGGUAGGCUGUGGUUAUGAGGUGCCUCAGGAUGUGCUUUUUUUCUUGUUUCCGCCCUUCCCUCGUGCAGCCUUGGAGAGAUGAAGUCCCCAUGGUGUGGAGUGGUGCAAAAAGAGGAAUGGUCCAGCAAUUCGGGUUAAUAGGGGACAAGAGAACAAAGGGGUUUCAGAAUAACUGCUAACUGUUAUGACUAUUGCAUGGGGCACUAUGCAAGUCUCUGACAUCCAGCCAAGAUGGACAAAGGAGAAGGACAAGGGAAAAGCCUGGGAGGAAGACUAUGAGCCUUCAGUACGAGAGACCCGCAGAGGGACCACCAGAGACUGAUAACACAUGCGUCAGUGGGCGGGUUCGGAUUCCAGGAACUAGUUAUAAUAACCCUGCCUUUUCUAGAAGUAGUAAUGAAUAUGUAUUAGCCUAGGAGCAUAAAAACCAGCCGCCUGCUGUGACUUGUGUGCGUCUCGGUGGAGCAGAGACUCCCGGCGCACCCAGUGCUGUUUGCUUACCUCUAUUCAUUUAAUAAAUUGUAAACUUUGAUUGUAAUCCUAUUUGGG